rnacentral:lncRNA from 1 species
CACAUGUUACUGUGUGUGUGUGUGUGUGUGUUGUUAGGGUGAAUGUCUGCUUUUGAAGGAGGAAUGUGCUGUUGACUGUUUAUUACAUUUCAAUUCUUCCAGGAUGAGGUCAACGUCAUCGCCUUCAUCUGUGGACCAAACCGUCGUGGUUCCAUGAUUCAUCUCGGGGCCCAGAGCUGCGGCCCCAGACGUCCUGGAUCAGGAAUUUCUAGACUGGCAGGAGCUUUUCAACUAUUUCAAUGAAGACGUUCCAUCGCAGGGGGAGCCCCUGAGGAA